rnacentral:ncRNA from 2 species
UUUGUUGCCUGCGCUAUUGGUGUUCAGCGGGCUGAAGCCCACUGAAUGAAAAGGGAACGCGGUCUCGCAAACAUUUGCGAUAAGCCGCGGCUGCCCCCGCAACUGUAAGCGGCGAGCGUCAUCCUCAAUCCACUGGGCUCUCCACUGUGUUUGGAGAACUGGGAAGGAAGGACCUGAUGCGUCUGAGCUGCAAGCCAGGAGACCUGCCAGUGGCGUGUCGCCCAU